GUGGGGAAUUUUGGACAAUGGGCGCAAGCCUGAUCCAGCAAUGCCGCGUGUGUGAAGAAGGCCUUCGGGUUGUAAAGCACUUUUGGCAGGAAAGAAAUAGUGCGUGCUAAUACCAUGCGCGAAUGACGGUACCUGCAGAAUAAGCACCGGCUAACUACGUGCCAGCAGCCGUGGUAAGACGUAGGGUGCAAGCGUUAAUCGGAAUUACUGGGCGUAAAGCGUGCGCAGGCGGUUUUGUAAGACAGGUGUGAAAUCCCCGGGCUAAACCUGGGAACUGCACUUGUGACUGCAAGGCUAGAGUGUGUCAGAGGGAGGUGGAAUUCCGCGUGUAGCAGUGAAAUGCGUAGAGAUGCGGAGGAACACCGAUGGCGAAGGCAGCCUCCUGGGAUAACACUGACGCUCAGGCACGAAAGCGUGGGGAGCAAACAGGAUUAGAUACCCGAGUAGUCC
rnacentral:rRNA from 1 species